AAACCUAGCGGCGAACGGUCGCGUAACACGUAAGCAACCUGCCCUAAAGUUGGGGAUAGCCCACCGAAAGGUGGAUUAAUACCGAAUGUGGAUGCCUUUUCUCCUGAUUAGGUAUCUAAAGCAGCAAUGCGCUUUAGGAUGGGCUUGCGGCCUAUCAGCUAGUUGGUAAGGGUAACGGCCUACCAAGGCGACGACGGGUAGCUGGUCUGAGAGGAUGGUCAGCCGGACUGGGACUGAGAUACGGCCCAGACUCCUACGGGGGGCAGCAAUUAGGAAUCUUGCACAAUGGGCGAAAGCCUGAUGCAGCGACGCCGCGUGACUGAUGAAGUCCUUCGGGAUGUAAAAGUCUUUUCUGGGGGAAGAAGGAUGUGACGGUACCCCAGGAAUAAGCCCCGGCUAACUACGUGCCAGCAGCCGCGGUAAUACGUAGGGGGCGAGCGUUGUCCGAAUUUACUGGGCGUAAAGCGCGCGUAGGCGGGCUCUUAAGUUGGUGGUGAAAUCCCGAGGCUCAACCUCGGAACUGCCUCCAAAACUGUGAGCCUUGAGGUAUGGAGAGGGAAGUGGAAUUCCAGGUGUAGCGGUGAAAUGCGUAGAUAUCUGGAGGAACACCCGUGGCGAAGGCGGCUUCCUGGUCAUAUCCUGACGCUGAGGUGCGAAAGCUAGGGGAGCGAACGGGAUUAGAUACCCCGGUAGUCCUAGCCGUAAACGAUGGAUACUAGGUGUCAGUGGUAUCGACCCCACUGGUGCCGAAGCUAACGCAUUAAGUAUCCCGCCUGGGGAGUACGGCCGCAAGGCUGAAACUCAAAGGAAUUGACGGGGGCCCGCACAAGCGGUGGAGCAUGUGGUUUAAUACGUCAUUAACCGUAGAACCUUACCCAGGUUUGACAUC
rnacentral:rRNA from 1 species